rnacentral:rRNA from 1 species
CCAUCAUUUAAAGAAAGCGUAAUAGCUCACUGGUCGAGUCGGCCUGCGCGGAAGAUGUAACGGGGCUAAACCAUGCACCGAAGCUGCGGCAGCGACGCUGAUGCGUUGUUGGGUAGGGGAGCGUUCUAUAAGCCUGCGAAGGUGACCUGUGAGGGUUGCUGGAGGUAUCAGAAGUGCGAAUGCUGACAUAAGUAACGAUAAAGCGGGUGAAAAGCCCGCUCGCCGGAAGACCAAGGGUUCCUGUCCAACGUUAAUCGGGGCAGGGUGAGUCG